rnacentral:rRNA from 1 species
GGAUGAACGCUGGCGGCGUGCCUAAUCCAUGCAAGUCGAGCGAACAGACGAGGAGCUUGCUCCUUUGACGUUAGCGGCGGACGGGUGAGUAACACGUGGAUAACCUACCUAUAAGACUGGGAUAACUUCGGGAAACCGGAGCUAAUACCGGAUAACAUGUUGAACCGCAUGGUUCAACAGUGAAAGACGGUCUUGCUGUCACUUAUAGAUGGAUCCGCGCCGCAUUAGCUAGUUGGUAAGGUAACGGCUUACCAAGGCAACGAUGCGUAGCCGACCUGAGAGGGUGAUCGGCCACACUGGAACUGAGACACGGUCCAGACUCCUACGGGAGGCAGCAGUAGGGAAUCUUCCGCAAUGGGCGAAAGCCUGACGGAGCAACGCCGCGUGAGUGAAGAAGGUCUUCGGAUCGUAAAACUCUGUUAUUAGGGAAGAACAAAUGUGUAAGUAACUAUGCACGUCUUGACGGUACCUAAUCAGAAAGCCACGGCUAACUACGUG